rnacentral:rRNA from 1 species
UAUCAUAGGAUGCAAGUGUUAUCCGGAAUGAUUGGGCGUAAAGCGUCUGUAGGUGGUUUAGAAAGUCGAUUGUUAAAAACUAAGGCUUAACCUUAGGUCGGCAAUGGAAACUUCUAAACUAGAGUACGGUAGAGGUAGAGGGAAUUACCGGUGUAACGGUGAAAUGUGCAGAUAUCGGUAAGAACACCAAUGGCGAAAGCACUCUACUGGGCCGAAACUGACACUCAGAGACGAAAGCUAGAGGAGCGAAUAGGAUUAGAUACCCUAGUAGUUCUAGCUGUAAACGAUGGAAACUAAAUAUUGAGCUUUUUUAAAAGAGCAGUAUUGUAGCUAACGCGUUAAGUUUCCCGCCUGGGGAGUAUGCUCGCAAGAGUGAAACUCAAAGAAAUUGACGGGGGCCCGCACAAGCGGUGGAGCAUGUGGUUUAAUUCGAUGCAACGCGAAGAACCUUACCGGGGAUUGACAUACUACGCAUUUUCUGGAAACAGAAAAGUUAAAACGUAGAUACAGGUGGUGCAUGGCUGUCGUCAGCUCGUGUCGUGAGACGUAGGGUUAAGUCCUGUAACGAGCGCAACCCUUAUUGUUAGUAGAUUUUAACAAACUAGCAAGACUGCCAGUGAUAAGCUGGAGAAAGGUGAGGAUGACGUCAAGUCAUCAUGCCCCUUAAGUCCCGGGCUACACACGUGCUACAAUGGUUAAGACAAAGAGAUGCUAACUUGCGAAAGUACGCCAACCUCAUAAACUUAAUCUCAGUUCGGAUUGUAG